UGAGCGUCCGGUUUAUAUUGGGCGCUUCAGUACAAUACAUCUGUCCUUUCUGAUAAAAGUGGCAACAUAUCUAAUAACUUGUCUUCUUGAAACUGAUCGAUACUCAUAGAAAUUAAUAAGAAAGCUUGAACUCGUAAGUAUAACUAUAAUUUUUAAAACAUUUCAUAAACGUAUAGUAAAUAUUUGCAUGCAUGCAUACGUAGGCUACGUAGAAAAGGAAGCUCUCAAUUGUUAUUAACGUAACACCUAAUAAUACCUAGUUUUGGUCCGCCGUUAGAUCAUUUCUGUCAUACAUGGCAAUGACGGAAAGAAUAUCGUCGUAUAUUACAGUUGAUGAGUUGAAGCUACGGUAUGCUCAGUCAUGCCUUUGCAAUUGGUCACUGGACCUUUUGGAUAGAUUAUAUAACUGAUGUUGUAUUGCGUUGCUCCUAAAUUAAUUAAACCCUAGAAAAUUGACAUUGAUCAUGACCAUGCAGAAUGAUUUGGUAGGAUCGAAAGAAAAAACAACUGGUCUCAAACAACGGCUCUCAAACAACGGGCCUCAAACAACUGGUCUCAAACAACUUCUCUCAUAAUUAUAUAUCUUAAUCUUAUAUCCCACAAAUGUAUUUAAUAACCUUUUAGAUCAUACCAUACCGCGCUGAGGUUGUUCGAUUCUGGGGAAUGUGGCAUUUUGUGUUACGUUUGUAUCUUCCUGAAAUCUGAUCAAAUAUCGUUGUAGUAAUUACUAAAGAAUUUAAAACGUAGUAAGUAUAAAUAAACACAAUAUGCAACGUUGCACAAUAUGUGAAUGGACAAUUGCAAAUAAUAAUAAUGUCAUUACUUUUAAAAAUAUUUGUUUUGAUUUAACGAC